UUCCGUUGAUCCUGCGGAAGGCUGCUGCUAUUUGGGUUCGACUAAGCCAUGCAAGUUCAGGGGACUUCGGUCACCGGCAACAUGCUCAGUAACACGUCGAUAAUCUAACUUCAGGUCUAGGAUAACCUUGGGAAACUGAGGCUAAAACUGGAUAUGAGAUUUUUUCUGGAAAGAGUUAUCUCUUAAAAGCAAUGCCUGAAGAUGAGUCGGCGGUGGAUUAGGUAGUUGGUGGGGUAACUGCCCACCAAGCCGAAGAUCCAUAGGGGCCCUGAGAGGGGGAACCCCGAGAAGGACACUGAAAUACUGGUCCUAGCCCUACGGGGUGCAGCAGGCGCGAAACCUUUACAAUGCACGAAAGUGUGAUAAGGGAACCCAAAGUGCUCAUACAAAGUAUGGGCUUUUGCCAAGAGUAAAUAUCUUGGAGAAUAAGUGGUGGGAAAGACUGGUGCCAGCCGCCGCGGUAACACCAGCGCCACGAGUGGGAGCCGCGUUUAUUGGGCCUAAAGCGUCCGUAGCUGGUCUGGAAAAUCUCUUGUGAAAUUGUGGAGCUUAACUUUACAACGUGCAGGAGACACUAUCAGACUAGGAACCGGGAGAGGUAAGGAGUAUGCUGGGGGGAGCGGUAAAAUGUUAUAAUCCCCAGUGGACUACCAGUGGCGAAGGCGCCUUACCAGAACGGGUUCGACAGUGAGGGACGAAAGCCAGGGGAGCGAUCCGGAUUAGAUACCCGAGUAGUCCUGGCCGUAAACUCUGUGAGCUAGGUGUUGCACGAUCUACAUGAUUGUGCAGUGUCGUAGUGAAGAUGUUAAGCUCACCGCCUGGGAAGUACGGUCGCAAGACUGAAACUUAAAGGAAUUGGCGGGGGAGCACCACAAGGGGUGCGGCGUGCGGUUUAAUCUAAUUCAACGCAGAAAAUCUCACCAGAGGCGACGGCAGGAUGAAAGUCAGUCUAACGGGCUUACUUGACGAGCCGAGAGGUAGUGCAUGGCCGCCGUCAGUUCGUACCGUGAGGUGUCCUGUUAAGUCAGGCAACGAACGAGACCUGCACUCAUAAUUGCUAACAGCUUUUUUUAGGGACUGAGCACUUUAUGAGAACUGCCUUGGAAACAAGGAGGAAGGUGCAGGCAACGGUAGGUCUGUAUGCUCCGAAUCCUCUGGGCUACACGCGCGCAACAAUGGUAAAGACAAUGGGAUGCUACUCCGAAAGGAGACGCUAAACCUCUAAACUUUAUCCAAGUCCAGAUUGAGGCUUGUAACUCAGCCUCAUGACGAUGGAAUCCCUAGUAAUUGGGUCUCAUUACGGCCCAGUGAAUAUGUCCCUGCUCCUUGCACACACCGCCCGUCAAACCAACCGAGCAGGGUUUAGGUGAGUGCCAGCUUUAUUGGUUGGACCGAAUCUAAGCUCAGUAAGGUGGGUUAAGUCGUCACAAGGUA
rnacentral:rRNA from 1 species